rnacentral:tRNA from 1 species
GCACCUAUCGCCAAGUGGCUAAGGCCGUGGACUGCAAAUCCACUAUCGUUGGUUCGAAUCCGACUAGGUGCUC